ensembl:lncRNA
ACCCAGAUGGGUAACUCUAACAGGAAUGGCAGUGCUUUAGGAUUUGAUGUUCACGAAGAAAGUGGAAUUCCUGAGCAAUGCAGAGGAAGGUAAUGGGGAUAAUAAGGCAAAGCAAGGAGAGCAGCUGGGGGAAGUGAGGGAAAGGCUGAAAGGAAAAGAACAGGCAGCAUGCAGGGCACCUUAUAGUGCAGUAAUGAGCUCUAGGAGCACUAUAUUGUGCCACUCUGUGUAGUGGAUAACCAUCUAUGUGUAUACGUUCCCUUUGCCUGUCUGCGCAACCAGCAGCCGCACAGCAAAGGCGGCUUCCGGGGCACUGCUGGAAAUGCCUCGGAGCGGUUCUCGCACCUCCCGACAGCGCUGCGGCUCUGCUGCCACCUGCUGGACGCCGGUCGGUACUGCAGGCACUGCCCCAGCAAGGGUCCCUGGUGUAUUCCAGGCACCGGAGACGUGCAGUGGUUUCUCCUGGGGCUCCUCAGUGUUCUCUAGGCUGCUCUAGAUGCUUCCCAGAGCGUCCUAGAGGCCUCUCAAGAGCCAACCUAUGUGCUCAGAGAAACGCUAGUGUGCUUCCAGAGCUCCUGUAUGUGUUCUCAGGAGGGUUCCAAGUGUGCCCUAGAUGCCUCCAAGAUGCCCCCAGCAUAAUCUGAGGAAUCCUGGAGUACUCCCAGAGCUCCUCAGUGUUCACUAGGAUGCUGUAGAAGUCUCACAUUGUGCCCUAGAGGCUUUCAAGGACACCCCAGUGGACCCCCUCAGCCCCGGCGCUGAGCCAAUCGGAUGCCGCGAUAGGCGCAGGGGUGGCUGAGAGCCAAACCGGUCCGUUCCCGGCACUGAGCGCUCCCCUGAUCUGAGUAGCGAGCGUAAAUCCAUGCAAGUACCACUUGCUUUGGUGCAUGCGCACUGCUGCCGGAGGACCAGUCACCAUAGAGCGGUGGUUUCUCUGUGCAGAGCAGCUAGAAGUCAGACGUCACUUCCGGCUUCCUGUGCACACGCGUCUUACUGCCUGGAGGCUCAAACACCAUAGAAGUUGGCGGACUCGAGGCGCAGAGCGGCUACAUGCAAAUUACGGAUGCGCUGAGCCAAUCGGCGGCCGCGCGGAGGCAGCGAUGAGUUAAAGCGGUACUUUUCAUAGGAGGUGUGGAAGAAAUGUGAGAAAGAGGUGUCUUAGAUGAGAGGAGACGACUGGACUAUGUGGAUCAAGGGAGAAGACUCGUUGCAAACCAGCUGUCCCACCAGUCUGGUGAGAUGGCACAUCUUACAGCCAAGCUGAAAAUGAAGGAUGAAGGAGCACAAUUUGUCAGAGGAGGUGCAGAGAUCUUGGGGGACUCCAACAGUUAGCAGUUGUUUGACCAGCUAUUUUAAAAUUGACAUAGAUACCCAUUAUGAAGUUGAUGGUAACAGGAGGAGGAGCUCACUCAUCUCAUAGCGCUGAUUCUAUGAUUCUGUGUUAUUUGGAAAACAACCAAAACCACACCAAGACUGGACUGAACUCUUCUCUGACAUGAAUGGGCAGCACAGCUUGCAGAGAAUAACGCAGUCACAAAACCAUGGAGCUUCUUCUCUUUUGUGAGCUGAUUGUGCUCAAGAACACACACUAUACUAAUACACCAAGAACUGUCCUAACCAACCCUUCUUUGUCUCAGCUGUUACUUUUACCUUUCACAGUCAUGUCAAUGGAAUAUGUUUUAUAGUUCCAUUUCCUUGUUUUAAUCACCUGCUAGACAGCACAGAUGUCAGCUUGCAUUUCUUGCAUUGCAGAAGUACGAGAAUUGUUCCCCACUUACCUUCUCCAUGUUCACUGACUUAACAGUCUCUUUUUUGUGCCCCUGAUCAUCAUACAGGAUUCUUAGUUCUGAAGUUUCACCGUUAAGAUGGAUGGCCCAUAAUUACUGCAUACAGUGUUCAAGAGAAGGACAUAGGAGGAAAAAUAAAUAUCCAAAACCUAACAUGUAGAAAAGGACCAGUGCUACUCUAUAGCUUGACUUCCAUAGAGCAUGCACUGUUAUCUGAAAAGCGGAAAAUGUAUCCAGAUGGUAUAAUUCUUUUAAAAGAAUGUUUUCCUUUAUUUUAAAAAGAAUAUGACAGACUGUGUUUUAAAGAUUUGCAGCAUAAAUUCUUAAGAGUGGAAAAAAUGUUAUGUUAAUUUGGUCAUAGUUCUAAUGAUGAAGCUAAACAAACUUCUUUUCUCUCCAUCUUCUAUCUACCUGUCCAUGUUUAAUAAUGUAGUUCCUUGUUACCAAAGCACGAGAUCAGCUAUUGGUUAAUAACUUAAUGCUAACUCAAUUCUAAAGAGACUCCAUCCAUGUCAGAUAACCCACCUAGAAGAAAACUUUCCAGAAUAACUUUCUGAAGUAUUGGAGCCCUCGGUAAUUGUAAUUACAAAUGUAGUUCCUCUGACAGACCAAAGUAAACCCUGAACUCAAACAGGAAGGUUCUGACUGCUGUGUUGUAUGACAUCCAACUCUAGUUUGAAAUUUUUCUUGAUCUCCACCCCCCUCAAGAUUCAGAAUUUGGAUUAGUCGGUUUAGACACAGAGCUAGAAAAAUGCCACUUUUGUUAAUGAAAUUAAAAUAGCCCAUAAGCCGAAGAAGUAAGAAAGCAAAGAAUCUUCUUAUAAGGGGAUGGAAAUUGAUGCUAAAUUUACAUUUAUUUCAAUUUCUGAAGAAAAUAAAUACUGUCUUACCAUGUAUUAGGACUUUUGCUUAGUACGAAUUAUUUGUUGCUAUCUAAACAGGUUGAGUUGUGUGUUCUAGAAUACAAAAGUGACUUUGUUGUACAGUUUCAUCGGCCUGAUGAUUCUCUGCUGGAAAUCAGUGGAUGACUCAAAGCAAAGACAAAAGGCAGCCAAGUGUCAGACAGCAAAAGACAACACCGUUUUUCUUUCUUCAUGACAGCUGGGAUGAACAUUUGCAAGAUACGGAUCCAAAUGUUUCUGUACGUAAAACUGUUUGUCACCUGGUGAUCAGCUAUGCCUGUUUGUUACCAUGACCAAACAGUGAGUCCUCAUUUUGAUUCAUCAAGAACUUUGCCCUUUGUUGUGAACUAAAGUACUACUAAAACCUGACAGAGCAAGAACUAAGUUGUUCAAAAGGAUACUGAGUCAUGGUGCAGGAAACACUGAUUAUUAUGCCCAACUUGUUUUCACAUACAUGUGUGCAUGUGCAUAAUAGGUAGAUGUAAGCUCAUUGCUUGCCUUGCAAGGAACUGCUGUAUUUUGUAAGACACAUAGCAAGCAACUUCUCUUAUAUAGCAAGCAUAAUAAGUAAACUUCCCUUUGGUUUCAAUUUCUACAUCCAAAAUAUUUACAGGGACUAUUGAAAUCUGUCUAUCAACUCCUAGGCAAGGCCCUAGACAUUUUUCUAGCUGUUGCGUAAGAAACAACAAAUCUCAGUUUAUGUGGUGCAUGAGAGCUGGCACUGAUUUUCCUAGGAAGCACUGCAACUGUUCUGGUUUGGGCUGCGUUAGAGUUAAUUUUUCAUAGUGAGUGGUAUAUGUCCCUUAAAGAUAAUGCCUUUUCACAGUAUCUGUCUUAUUUUUAAAAGCAUUAAUUAAGAGGAAAGGCAGACAGCAGUAAAAGUAUGUCCACAAUUAACAUAGGAAAAUACUAAGCUCAUGUAAAAUGACUGUAGCGUGCUUUCUGUUGCUUUAUGAUGGAAAACAGAUCUGUACUAUCUGCACACAAAAAGGAGGAAAGCAUUAUUUAAAGUCUCUAAUAGCAUAUUAAGCUGGAGGAAAUUUUAAAUGAUUAGCCUAAUUAGUCUACUUCUUAACAAGGAUCAAGUAAGUUACUAAUGUAGAAAUGAGUAAGGCAGAAGGUUUGUACCUUCUAAGAAGCAUGGCUGCCCUUUAAGCUGCCAUCUGAAUCCACAGUCUCUCCUCUUAGAAUAAGGAAGUUAAGAUCUGGCACUGCUUCAGUUCAAUAAAAAACAAAAUAAUUUGGAUCUUGAUCCCCAAUUUAUCCUGUAGCUAUCUGAGAAAUUCUUUCCUUAUUAACAGAGAAAGAAGGAAGUAACUGUAGAAACUGCUUUAAGGCAGCUGCCUAGAAUUUUUCGUGGUAAUGAGCUCUGUUCAUAGACUUUAAAAAGUUUAAUUAAAUACAGAUGAAUGACAUUUCCUACUUUCGUAAAACUAUAGAUCGGCAUUUGUAAGAGCUCAUGAAGGCAUCCAGUCCUUGUCCUAAUUAGCCACGGUAGUUUAAAGCAAAAAAAAGUAGUGCUGGAGGGGGGGGAGGGGAUCUACUGUUGAUUUAUCAAUUAUGGUAUUUUCUAUUAUACCAAAAUGAUGCAGAAAGGCUUUGAAAUCCAUCAUCCCAAUGCCAGUUUCUGCAGUUAUGAAAAAAAUGCCUAUACUGACAACAAAGUCCAUUUCAUGCUCUUGUAUUCCACUUGACCUUCUAUCUUCUCAGUUUAAGGAUUGUGGCCUGAGGCCACCGCCGUGUCAGUCACCCACAUGUUAACUCUGGCAACAAACCAAGUAUUGAAUUCUUGCAGAAACGCCGAAAAGAUCGUUAGAAAAAAAGAAAAGCUUAUGUGUACAUACAUACUAUGGUAAGUCUACCUCAUGAGUCUCAUGCUGCACCUUUUGUGAGAUCUUCAGCAAAUAAAUGAAAUCUUAUGCAAAAGUUCACAUGUGGUUUAACGAAAUGUACAUAAAAACAAUUGUCUGCUUACUCACAAGGAGCACUUCUGGCUGCACUUUUGUCGAGAGAAUGAUUCUCAAUGGGCCCCAUGAAUCUCAGCCUGAGUGUUGGCUGAUACAAGAAGGUGAACAUGUAACACAAUGAGAUCUACUGCUGCACAGCUGCCUCCCAGCAGAGAAUGCAUUACAGUGCUCACGUGCGUUUGUAUGCUUGCAAACUCAGUCAGCUCAGUGGUAUUUGUUUUCUAUUAUCUAGAAGAGCAUUUGAGUGAGCAAACCCAGAAGGUGGGUUUGAGGACGGACCGGGCUGCAAGCUUCCAACCUGCGUAGUACAGAAGGACUCUCAGCAACUGGCCCAAGAGGAAACUGAAGAUGACUUGGUCCUGUGCUGUAGUAACAACACUUCACUGCUUUGGAAAAACAAUAAAAAGAAGAAAGAAAAAAGAAAGCAUUGAGAGUUCCAACACCAUAAAAAGAUAAGAAACAGAAUGUAUUUUGAGUGAAAGUGGAAAAGUCUUGUGUUACGCAACACAGUCAUGCAGAAAUCUCCAAAACAGGUGUGUUCAUAACAGCAUGGCACUGAGCAUGGAUUAAUUCAUUACAGCUGAGAUACUCCUAGGUUCUGAUUGGAAUAGUUUGUGGGUACAUCUUCUCACAGAUGUUCCAGCUCAGAUAUGUUACUGCCUCAGGCCUGCACUUGUACCAUUGGUUCUUGUGGUUUGGCUGAACUGGAGCAAGAGGAACAGAAAGACACAAGGGCUGUUUGCAAAGAAAAACAUAUAGAGGGGGAAAGUAGAAGCAGUUAAACAAAUAAAGAGGUAUUGAAGAGAAGGAAAAUCAAUGAGUCAUAAGUGAACAUGGACGAACUUUCAGAGGAAGUGAUGCAUGCAUGUAGAUGGAUAUUGGAUAUUACAUAGAGGGUAUUUCAAUGCUGGCAUUUGAUUUGAAAGAACAACCAGGCAGGUCCACUUUCUCUCCCUACUAAUUUACAUGAAAUUACUAACUCUCCUCUAAUUUGUAUUAGGACAUUUCAAAGCUCUGCGUGAUUUCCAAAGGCAAUUUGUGCCAAUGGGAAGGUAUACACACAGCAUAUGAAUGAGUACAAGGGAACUUGAUCAAAAUUCCAGUCUCAUGUAUUUUUUCUGAACACUUGCUGCACUCCUUUCAGAUCUGGAAAAUUGCAGGCUGACAUAUCUCUGGAUUUUUUAUGUUGUGCUUCUUUUCUCCUAAGAUCUACGCCCUACUGGUUCUGGGAAACUUGUGACCUCUGCAUUUUUAAUUAGAACUUGUAACAUUUUCCAUAGCAACAUAUUUUGAUGUCGCAAAUACAGAACCUGUCAAAUCAAACAAUUUCAAAGUGCAAAGCUACGGCCUUCUGGUCAAUUGAAGUCCAAGUACAUGAAAACACUGAGAUGCAAGGAAGACUGAAAAUUAUUUGUUGGUUAACUCAUAGCUUUGAUCUUCAUAAUUAAUAAAUCAGUACAGAUAUAAAAGAAUUACAUUGCAUGCUGGAGUGGUUUAGAUGAACUCAGUACUAAUUUCAUCGCACGUGAGAGCAGAUAGAAUCCAUCUGUCUGACUGGUGUGCCAGUACUAACAUGGUACAAAGGAGAGGAUCUAUUUCUAGGAAAUAGUCGAGAUGUGGAACAAACUUCACUCACAUGAUGAGCUGUGUGAGCAGGAAGUGAAGAAAACAGAAAUCCUCUGAAACGAGGCCUGAGCUCAGAUUUCAACAGACCCACAAUAUGAGCAGGAAUAAUAAUAAUGGGUUAAGAAAAGCAGUGUAACUUAGCACUUAAAUAUGUAUAUUAAAAAUAAGUCAUUUAUUUAUGAUACAUGCCCUGCAAGUGCCAAAUAAUACUUCUGUCAAGUCUGAAGAACAUAAACUGAGAAUUUUUGUCAUUCAGAUAUACUUAUCUUUCCUUUUCCUGCUUUAAGCUAAGACUAAUGGCCAAGGAAGUCAUAUUUUCCUGCCAUUACUAAGACUGCACAAGGUAAUUUGCCCCUCUGCAAGGACAUCCACGUGUAACUGUUAGUAACACCAGCAGCCACGAGAUAUGGAUAUGAUCAUCAAGUCUUACUAAAACAAAUGCUGAAUACCAUGAACCUUUCAGGAGGAAAAGGCAAGUGUCAAUGUGGAAUGCGGUAAGAACUUUCUUGUUUCUGGUAGCAUUGGGUAUGUGACUGCUAUCCCUCUUCUUAUUCCAUCUAUUUCCACUUUUUACAAAAAAAAAAAAAAAAAAAAAAAAAAAAAAACACUGGAAUAUUAAGUUAAUAUUAAGUUAAACGUGGUAUGUUUCAACCUUGCAUUGCAGAUAAGGAAUUCCUGGAGUUCCUGAAUCCUGCGUGAUUGCAGGCAGCUCAGCUGAGUGUGCAUAAGGGAAAGGGGAACAAAAAUAUAAGAUUUUUCUGUUUCCUACCAAUUAUCUGAUAUUUCCCCUCUACUGUCUUUGGUGUAAAAGAAAACCAAAGUUCAGCCUUCUAGGAAAUGUAUUCUGGUAACCUGAAAGACUUUAUAAAUAGAGUGCACAAAUAGAUGACAGUACUUCCAUGACAUAGAUUUUCUGCUUUAGAAUGAAAUGCUUCAUUUGAAAAAGCUCCUAAAAUUGUUAGAACAGUAAUUUAAAAAAAAAAAAAAAGUUUAAACUCCACAAUUGAAUACAAAAAACGUUGCUGUGAAGGUUUUGAUUUCCAAGAAAUCCAUUUUAAACGUAUUUACAAAGUUUACAUAGAAGAAUAGAUCUGCUGCUAUCUAUAACAUUCACUUCUGUAGUAGAACAGCUAAUUUGCGACUAUUGGAUGAGAGAUACAGAAAGAGUCACUUUAGUGAAAGAAAAAAAAAACAUAUUAUUUUAAGGACAAAUAGUAAAAAAUGAUUGUUUUGGAGUUUAGAGACACAGAGUUUGAAGGAUUUUGCCCUCCGAUGCAGACUGCUCAUGCUUAUGCUGUAGCAAAGGAGGAGCAUCUUGACUACAAGAGUCUUAGUGGAAGAAAACUGGCAAUGCCUUUAUAAAAAUGUAUUUAAUUUCUGUGUUUGCAGUUUUCCCAGCUUCAUCCCUAGGUCCUGGCCUCAAGGGCCCUAGAGAUGUCACAGUUUUAAACAGUCUUAUAAAUCUAGGAGGGGAAAUGAGCUGUCUCUCAUCUUAAACAGAGAGCCUUGGAGAAUGUCUAUGGGGCUUUACCAAUGGAGCUGCCGAAAACAAAGCUAUGAUUCAGGGGUCUCUGACCUUUCCCAGCCCUCCUCCACCAGUGUCAGCCUGCAGCCUGCUCUUUAAAAGUUUCUGCUCACCCAGGGAGCAAAAUUAGAAAUCUUCUCCAGGGACAAUUUUUCUUCCAUCAAGCCACUCAUCAGCCCACUGAGGCAUGGAAACCAAAAAGGAAAAAGUGAGUUAAAAGAAUGUAUGUCUCUUGGUAAGGAUUUCCCACAGCAGAGUGUAAGUGUCCAGACUACCUCAUCAGCAGAGUCCCAGCCUUUACUAUAGGUCUUGGUAUUCAGUCUGUACUGUAGUGGUAUAGAAAAGUGCCAAGCACUGUGCAGGUGAUGCAUGCAUCAAUACAGCAGAUGUGGAGGUGUGUUUGAACUGCUUAACAUCAGCACUUACCAAAUGUUGAAGACACUCUAGCCCCUACGACAAAUAAAAGCAUUCAUUCAGAUGUGCAUGGCAUUUCAGGAAUGGAAUCAUUAUUAUCUUCUCCGAAAAUGUUUUGUCUUAUGUUUAAUAUAAUAUAAUAUAUAUUGCUUAUUGGAAACAAAUCCUUGUUAGUCUCGUUGUUUGUUUGUUUCCUAAUUGUGGAUCACCACAGAACAGGGUACAGUUCAUAAAUACCUCAAAUAUCUGAAAGGUGAUUGCAGCAGAGCAGGGCUGGUCUCUUCUCACUGGUGGCAGGAUGAGGAGAAAUGGCCUCAGGCUGCACCAGGGGAGGUUUAGGUCGGAUAUCAGGAAGAAUUUCUUUACAGAAAGGGUUGUUAAGCUCUGGAAUGGGCUCCCCAGGGAGGUGUUGAGUCACCAUCCCUGGAUGUGUUUAAAAUCCAUCUGGAUGUGGUGCUCAGGGACAUGAUUUAGUGGAGGGUUGUUAGAGUUUGGGUAGUAUGGUUGGGUCUUGAUUGGACUCAAUGAUCUUUAAGGUCUUUUCCAAGCAAAUUCUAUGAUUUCCGGAGCAAUUCUAUGAUUCUGUCAUUUAAUAUGGAGAAAAUUCAAGUAAACUAAAAAUCAGAUUUAAAAGAUAACCUGGUGCAAUGUACUUUUAUUUAUUAAUUUGUUUAUUUUUAUUCCCCAGGCCUUUUUAAAGUUAACCCUAGAAAACACCCCAUGUUGGCGACUCCUUGUAAUUCAUGUCAAUGUUCUUUCAGCAGCACAGUUGCUGCUUCCACGCCGUGAGCAUCUCCUGUAUUUGCUUUAGAACUGCUUCCUGCUGAUGCGUUAAGCACAGGAAGUGAAAGACUUUCCAUGCUGUGACGUUCUGCAGUAAGAAGUUCAGCGCUGAGCUGUCUGUCACAAGGGAAACGCUCAUCUUCUCUUUACUCUGAGAGCAGCUUUUGUUGCCCCCUACUUCUCAUGGUGUGGAAAGCUCACCAGCAUUACCUUUGCUAUGUUUCUCAUCACCCAAAACAAUGCUAACCGGACUCUCCUCUUGUCAUGGCUUGUUGCCCACCUUCUAAACCCAUCCCUGCAGUAUAUGGGGACCUCUGCUUUCACAUACCACGACAGUCCUUUCAGUACUGAACUGUGCUUUCUGAAAUAUAUGACUCUGAUUUUGAAUGAUUUUGAUAUAACUUCAGACUGAAAAAACCCCAUAAUGACUUACUCCAAGUAAACAAGAUAACAGGAUAG